rnacentral:rRNA from 1 species
CGGCGGACGGGUGAGUAACGCGUGGGUAACCUGCCUUACACAGGGGGAUAACAGUUAGAAAUGACUGCUAAUACCGCAUAAGACCCCGGUACCGCAUGGUACAGAGGUAAAACUGAGGUGUGUAAGAUGGACCCGCGUCUGAUUAGGUAGUUGGUGAGGUAACGGCUCACCAAGCCGACGAUCAGUAGCCGGCCUGAGAGGGUGGACGGCCACAUUGGGACUGAGACACGGCCCAGACUCCUACGGAAGGCAGCAG